rnacentral:sRNA from 1 species
GUUGCCGGCAUAAAGUAUUUUCAUUCUACCUCUUCACAAGAGUGACAGCUGAAUCACUCACUUGAUAUCAGAAUGCAAAGCUAAGUAUGCAAUUAGACUUCAUGAUAAGAGCUAGUAAUCACUGAACUGAACUGAUAUUACAAUAUCUAAAAUAGUCAACUUCUUUGAAUUUUAAUCUCCUGAUAAGUAUUAUUUUUUAUUUUUGUUUUAUAUAAGAGAGCUUCUUUCUCUUUCUCUUUAACUCCAAAAAGUCCAAAUCCUCUAUCAGAAUAUUGUUCUCAAGUUCAAUUUUACAGAAACAAACUUUUAUCAAGCAAUCGAAAAUGCAGCUCUCUAGCAGAUUCAUGGCUCUUGACUCUGCUUCUUGCUCCGCUUGCAUUGACUGCUCCUACCUAGGAUACAGUUGGUCCUACCCGAUGCAAACCUGGCACCUAUUGGUGCAGAUGUACGGCCACCACAACUAUGUGUAAGGUCGAUGUCUGUAACGCUCUCGGCAGUGGCAAACUUCAGCCAUGUGCAGACCGAAAAGCAGUCCAAGUGGGCCACCCACUUGCAGAGAUGGUCCAAACGGCACUGCCUUCUGUAUUUAGAUAUUAUAUGGGAGGAAUGGAGUGUUCUCUAGCUUAACAUGUCCUGUAUAUAUAAUCAUCUAGAUAGUUGACUGUCUGAUGUUUGCACUUAUCAGCGAGUUAGAGUACUCUGACAUCUAACUACCGUACAUCACAAUAAGAAAUCCAGUCGGCCUGCAUGUUACUUAGUCAAAGUAUGA